UACGUAGGUGGCAAGCGUUGUCCGGAAUUAUUGGGCGUAAAGCGCGCGCAGGUGGUUUCUUAAGUCUGAUGUGAAAGCCCACGGCUCAACCGUGGAGGGUCAUUGGAAACUGGGGAACUUGAGUGCAGAAGAGGAAAGUGGAAUUCCAAGUGUAGCGGUGAAAUGCGUAGAGAUUUGGAGGAACACCAGUGGCGAAGGCGACUUUAUGGUCUGUAACUGACACUGAGGCGCGAAAGCGUGGGGAGCGAACAGG
rnacentral:rRNA from 1 species